rnacentral:sRNA from 1 species
UCCCAACAAAAACAAUGUACCCGUCAGA